rnacentral:lncRNA from 1 species
UUGUAGUCCGCUCGCUCAUCUCAGUUUCCUCUCCUCUGCAGAGUCCGGUCUUUUCCUUUUCACCGGAGCCUGGGGCUGGAGAUGAGGCCCGAGGCGGGGCUCCCCGACUUCCAAAACGCAGACGCUGCCUUCUCGGGGCCCCAGGGGUGGGGUGCCGGGGAGCAGCCCCACCCCCCAGUGCCCGCUCCACACCCCUGCCCGGCCCCCCAGGCUCCCCGCGCUCCUCUGGCGGAACCCCCUUGCACUCGCCUCUGCACACGCCCCGGGCCAGUCCCACUGGGACCCCGGGGACAACACCACCCCCCAGCCCCGGCGGUGGCGUCGGGGGAGCCGCCUGGAGGAGUCGUCUCAACUCCAUCCGCAACAGCUUCCUGGGCUCCCCUCGCUUUCACCGGCGCAAGAUGCAGGUCCCUACCGCUGAGGAGAUGUCCAGCUUGACGCCAGAGUCCUCCCCGGAGUGAGUCUAACAGGGAAGGAAAGAG